GUUUCAUAUAUUUCCUGAAUUGAUCUCCGAAAUUUGUCUUCUCUUUCUUUUUAAAGAACAAAUUUCUCAACAUCAAUAUUGUGUUAGCAUUCUAGGGACAAGUAAUAGAAUACUAAGAAUUGUAAAAUGCAAACAAAAUAAAUAACCUAGCAAAAAUGGAUACAUUAUUAGAAAUACAACCUAUCAAGACUGAAUCAUUUAGAAAUUAAGAAACCUGAACAGAAAUAUCACCAGUGAGGUGAUUGAAUCAGCAAUCUAAAAUAUCCAAACAAACCAACAAAACAAACAAAAUAAUCCCGUACUGGAUGGCUUUACUGAAGAAUUCUACCAGAAACUGAAAAUAGAAUUAACACUAAUCCUUUUCAAACUCUUCCAAAAAAAAAAAGAAAGAAAGAAAAAACUAAGAGAGGGAGCAGUUCCAACAAGUUCUAUGAGAUCAGCAUUAUUCUGAAAAGUCAGGUAAAGCUAUUACAAGAAGAGAUGUACAAAAUACUAGCAAACUAAAUUCAACAACACAUUAAAAGGAUUAUACACUAUGAUCAAAUAGUAUUUAUUCCUGGAAUACAAGUAUGGCUCACCAUAUAAAAAUCAAUCAAGGUAACGCACCACAUUAACAGAAUAAAGGACAAAACUCACAUAAUUAUCUCAAUUGAAGCAAAAAAAAAUUGACAAAAUUUGACACCCUUUCAUAAAAAAAAAAAAAAAAAAAAAAAAAAAAAAACUCAACAAACUAGGAAUAGGAGGAAUCUACUUCAACCCACUAAAGCCAUAUAUGUAAAAGCCACAGCUAACACCAUACUCAAUGGCGAAAGACUGAAAGUUUCUCCCAAUCAGUCAGGACUAAAGCAAGGAUGUCCAUUCUUACCACUUUUAUUCAGCAUAGUACUGGAAGUCUUAGCCAGAGCAGUUAGGCAAAGAAAAAAAGUAAAAGGAAUCCAAAUUGUAAAGGAAGAAAUAAAAUCAUUUUUCUGCAUAAAUCGUUUCUCUUCAUAAAUGACAUGACCUUCUGUGUAGAACACUCUAAAGAUCUCUCUCACACACACACAAAUACAUUGUUAGAACUAAUAACAGACUUUAGCAAAGUUAUAGUAUACAAAUUCAAUACACAAAAAUUAGUUGUUUCUGUUCACUGAUAAUGAUCAACACCAAAUGGAAAUUAGGAAAGCAAUACUAUUUACAAUAGAACACAAAAGGAUAAAGUAUGAAUAAACUGAACUAAUGAGACAAAAGACUUAUGCACUAAAAACUAUAAAACAUUGCUGAAGGAAAUUAAAGAAGACACACAUAAACGGAAAGACAUCCAAUGUUCAUGAGAUGAUUGAAAGACUUAAUAUUGUUAAAAUACAUACUACUCAAAGUGAUCUAUACAUUCAAUGUAAUCCAUCAAAAUCCCAAUGACAGUUUUUGCAGAAAUAGAAAAAAACUCUAAAAAUUCAUAUAAAAUCUCCAGGGACCCCAAAUAGUCAAAAAAAAAAAAAAAAAAAAAAAAAAGCCUUUACACUUUGGGAGGCCGAGGAGGGCGGGUCACUUGAGGUCAGGAGUUCAAGACCAGCCUGGCCAACAUGGUGAAACUCUUUCUGUACUAAAAAUACAAAAAUUAGCUGGGCAUGGUGCUGCAUGCCUGUAAUUUCAGCUACUCGGGAGGCUGACUCAGGAGAAUCACUUGAACCCGGGAGACAGAGGUUGCAGUGAGCCGAGAUUGCACCACUGCACUCCAACCUGGGUGACAGACUUUUUCGUAUAAAAAAAUUAAAAAGAAAAGCAAAGUUAGAGGUCUCACGCUUCCUUCUUUCUAAACACAGUACAAAAUUUUAGUCGAGAAAACAUUGUGGUACUGGCAAAAAGACAGGCAUAUAUGCCAAUGCAGUAGAAUCAACAGCCCAUAAUUAAAACCUUGCGUGUGUGGUCAAAUGAUCUUUGACAAGGGUGUCAAGCCUAUUCAAUGAGGAAAGAAUAGCCUCCUCAAUAAUUUCUCCUGAGAAAAUUGAGUAUCCACAUCCAAAAGAAAAUAAUUGGAUCCUUACCUUCCAUGGUGUACACAAAUUAAUUCACAAUUGAUUUAAAAAUAUAUAAGGCCUAAAACUGGAGAAUUCCUAGAAGCAAACAUAGGAGAAAAGCUUUAUGACAUUGUAUUUGGCAAUGAUUUUUGAAUAACACAAAAACACAGGCAAUGAAAGCAAAAAUACACAAGUGGGACUAUAUCAAAUUUAAAAGCUUCUGCAUAGCAAUAACAGUAAAAAAAUCAACCUACAGAAUAGGAGGAAAUUUUUGUAAAUCAUAUGUCUGAUAAGGGAUAUAUAAAGAAUAUAUAAAAAUCCAGAAUAUAUCAAGAACUAUAAC
rnacentral:lncRNA from 1 species